ensembl:snRNA U6 U6 spliceosomal RNA
UUGUUAGGUUCCUGGAUACAGCUCAGCAGCACAUUCACUAAAAUUUAAACAAUACAGAAAAGAUCGGCAUGGCCCCCAAGGAUGACAUGCAAAUCCAUGAAGCAUUCCAUAUUUAA